rnacentral:rRNA from 1 species
CAGUCGCCGCGGUAAUACGUAUGUCACGAGCGUUAUCCGGAUUUAUUGGGCGUAAAGCGCGUCUAGGUGGUUAUGUAAGUCUGAUGUGAAAAUGCAGGGCUCAACUCUGUAUUGCGUUGGAAACUGUAUAACUAGAGUACUGGAGAGGUAAGCGGAACUACAAGUGUAGAGGUGAAAUUCGUAGAUAUUUGUAGGAAUGCCGAUGGGGAAGCCAGCUUACUGGACAGAUACUGACGCUGAAGCUCGAAAGCGUGGGGCGCAAACAGGAUUAGAUACCCCAGUAGUCCCUGUCUCUUAUACA